rnacentral:rRNA from 1 species
CGGAGCAAUCUGCCGCUUAUGGAUGGACCUGCGUCGCAUUAGCUAGUUGGAGUGGUAAAGGCACACCAAGGCGACGAUGCGUAGCCGACCUGAGAGGGUGAGUCGGCCACACUGGGACUGAGACACGGCCCAGAACUCCUACGGGUAGGCAGCAGUAGGGAAUCUUCCGCAAUGGACGAAAGUCUGACGGAGCAACGCCGCGUGAGUGAAGAAGGUUUUCGGAUCGUAAAGCUCUGUUGCCAGGGAAGAAGAGCAAGGAGAGGAACUGCUCCUUGAGUGACGGUACCUGAGAAGAAAGCCCCGGCUAACUACGUG